rnacentral:rRNA from 1 species
CAGCAGCCACGGUAAUGCGAAGGGUGCAAGCGUUAAUCGGAAUUACUGGGCGUAAAGCGUGCGUAGGCGGUGAGUUAAGUCUGCUGUGAAAUCCCCGGGCUCAACCUGGGAAUGGCAGUGGAUACUGGCUCGCUAGAGUGUGUCAGAGGAUGGUGGAAUUCCCGGUGUAGCGGUGAAAUGCGUAGAGAUCGGGAGGAACAUCAGUGGCGAAGGCGGCCAUCUGGGACAACACUGACGCUGAGGCACGAAAGCGUGGGGAGCAAACAGGAUUAGAUACCCCUGUAGUCCCUGUCUCUUAUAC